rnacentral:rRNA from 1 species
GUCCGAGUUGUAAUUUGCAGAGGAUGCUUCGGGUGCAGCCCCCGUCUAAGUGCCCUGGAACGGGCCGUCAUAGAGGGUGAGAAUCCCGUCUGGGACGGGGUGUCUGCGUCCGUGUGAAGCUCCUUCGACGAGUCGAGUUGUUUGGGAAUGCAGCUCUAAAUGGGUGGUAAAUUUCAUCUAAAGCUAAAUACUGGCCGGAGACCGAUAGCGCACAAGUAGAGUGAUCGAAAGAUGAAAAGCACUUUGAAAAGAGAGUUAAACAGCACGUGAAAUUGUUGAAAGGGAAGCGCUUGCGACCAGACUCGCCCGCGGGGUUCAGCCGGCCUUCGGGCCGGUGUACUUCCCCGCGGACGGGCCAGCGUCGGUUUGGGCGGCCGGUCAAAGGCCCCGGGAAUGUAUCGCCCUCCGGGGCGUCUUAUAGCCCGGGGUGCAAUGCGGCCUGCCCAGACCGAGGAACGCGCUUCGGCACGGACGCUGGCAUAAUGGUCGUAAGCGACCCGUCUUGAAACACGGACCAAGGAGUCUAACAUCUACGCGAGUGUUCGGGUGUCAAACCCGUGCGCGGAGUGAAAGCAAACGGA